rnacentral:rRNA from 1 species
UACGUAGGGGGCAAGCGUUAUCCGGAUUUACUGGGUGUAAAGGGAGCGUAGACGGCAGGGCAAGUCUGGAGUGAAAGGCAGGGGCCCAACCCCUGGACUGCUCUGGAAACUGUCCGGCUGGAGUGCAGGAGAGGUAAGUGGAAUUCCUAGUGUAGCGGUGAAAUGCGUAGAUAUUAGGAGGAACACCGGUGGCGAAGGCGGCUUACUGGACUGUAACUGACGUUGAGGCUCGAAAGCGUGGGGAGCAAACAGG